UUGUCCUUUAGUUACCAGCACGUUAUGGUGGCACUCUAAGGAGACUGCCGGUGCAAACCGGAGGAAGGUGGGGAUGACGUCAAGUCAUCAUGGCCUUACGGCCUGGGCUACACACGUGCUACAAUGGUCGGUACAAAGGGUUGCCAAGCCGCGAGUGUGAGCUAAUCUCCAAAAGCCAUCUCAGUUCGGAUUGCACUCUGCAACUCGAGUGCAUGAAGUUGGAAUCGCUAGUAAUCGCGGAUCAGCAUGCCGCGGUGAAUACGUUCCCGGGCCUU
rnacentral:rRNA from 1 species